rnacentral:rRNA from 1 species
GUACACUCCUGCGGGAGGCAGCAGUGGGGAAUAUUGGACAAUGGGCGCAAGCCUGAUCCAGCCAUGCCGCGUGAGUGAUGAAGGCCCUAGGGUUGUAAAGCUCUUUCACCGGUGAAGAUAAUGACGGUAACCGGAGAAGAAGCCCCGGCUAACUUCGUGCCAGCAGCCGCGGUAAUACGAAGGGGGCUAGCGUUGUUCGGAUUUACUGGGCGUAAAGCGCACGUAGGCGGACUAUUAAGUCAGGGGUGAAAUCCCGGGGCUCAACCCCGGAACUGCCUUUGAUACUGGUAGUCUUGAGUUCGAGAGAGGUGAGUGGAAUUCCGAGUGUAGAGGUGAAAUUCGUAGAUAUUCGGAGGAACACCAGUGGCGAAGGCGGCUCACUGGCUCGAUACUGACGCUGAGGUGCGAAAGCGUGGGGAGCAAACAGGAUUAGAAACCCCAGUAGUCCC